rnacentral:lncRNA from 1 species
UGGAUCAAAAUUAUGAUGCCUAAUAUAAUUUAUUUGCAACCAUUCUAGGUUUCAGAAUAAAAAUUAUGUUGCUAUUCAACCACUGUUGAGAGAACACCCAUUAAAAGUGAAGAGCAGGCCAAGACUUCAAUGAACUCUUUCUAUUGUUUUAGUAGAACAGUAAAGGACUAAAGGAACGUGUUUAUGAAACAAAGAAAACAGCAUUCUUCAAGAAUGCAGGAUAUUGAUGUAGCUGAAGGAGGCUUUUUUCUAUCUUGGCAAUCAUUCUCUUUUCUGAGAGACUCAUCAAUGGACGAAAUAGUUCCACAAAUUCUGAGGCAUUUGAACUGGUAUUUAAAAAGUACAAGGGAAUCAUCUUACCUAAGAACAAGAGAGGAUUUUAGCAUACAUACCUAUUAUGAAGACAAGGGAAUUAUAACAUUCUUAAACAAUAAUGAAAAGAGAAAGACCUUCUCAUUCCACAAAACAGAUUUUGGAUGACGGUUGACUCUCUCUUCCACAAUUCAGGUUUAAUCACAGCGUAAUCCCAGUAAGCAUGAUGAUUAAAUAAUCUUCAAUCCUUUCUGUUCUCACACCAGUGAAAUCAGGCUCUGCAUUUUGCUGAUGUUUUUUAUACAAUCACCCCUAGAUCCUUUCAAAAUACUGUGUGUAUGUCUGUGAGAAAAAUGCUUCUGAUAAUGGCUUUGUCAGUUUGUACACAGGAUGGAAUCCAGAUGCACUAUUCUGGACAUCAUUCUCUACUCUGAUAUUUUAUUUAACAGGUUUUUGUUAAAACAGAACAAAUGGAUAUUUGGUAUUCCUAAACAGAACAAAAGCCUUACCCGUUUCUUCAUUCUUUAUGCUUUUAUCAUGCUAUUGUAAUUUGUUUUUUCAUUUAUGGUCUAGAAGUCUAAUAGUGUCAUUCCAUUGCUUUGACUAUUGCAGUAUCUCACCAGUGCAGCUCUAUUGUCUGUGACAUUUAUAACUAGUCCUUUCUAGACUCCUGUUCCAUCUGUUCAUGCUCAGAUUCAAAUGUUCAGUUCUUUUUAUUUAGCCAUGUUAUGACUGUACAAAUCAGAAGGUUAAAUAAGACAGAUCCUUAAACUGUUUGGGUUUCUGUGCCCAACAAUGUAAAUGGCUUAUACAAGACACAGUUCAGAACACGUAUGUGAUUUUUGCACUUCUGAAGUUGUGUUUUGAAUUGCCCCAAUGUCCAAUUGCAUGUCACUCAUCCUACUGAUCUCAGCAUGAAAUUGAUAUUUAUGGAACGGAUCAAAAGAAAAAGGGUUUGUUGUGACCUCUUUCAAGAUUCCUAUGUAAUAAUAAUAGUAAAGGGUGAUUCUUGGAAAAUACUUUCGUUUUCUUGUUCGCUGGUUGGAAUUUUGUAUGAUUUCAUAUGUUUUUCUCAUUAAAAUCCAUAAUAUUUAGUCAUUCUGUGAUUGCAUACAACAUGAAAUCCACAUGUUCACAGGAAUGAAAACGUAUAAGUUCGUUAUCUGUAAGUUCUGCCUUGAUUCCUCUUCUUUACUGUGAUUUUUACUGGUUUGGGUAUUCUUAAAUUCCUGUUUUUCUCUUACACAGGAAAAUAAUUCUUUGACUGUUGAUUUUAAUCAAUGUAAUCAAUUUAAGAUGUAUUACUUUACCCAGUGCUCAUUGCACCAUGCAGUUGGAGCCUUAAUAAAGCAUUAGUGCUGCUGUUUUUCUCA